AUGAGAAGCUGCCACAGAGUCUUGAGGGACAUGUAUGGGGAGUUUUCUCCUCCAGAGUAUCACAGUGAUUCCCCAUUCAACCUAUGGUGUAACUGGACAAUCUGGGCAGGCUCCAGAAAGCAUAUCAUAGUCUAUAUUCAAGGUUUUAUCACAGAGGAGGAUUGCAACAGAAACAAAGACAAAAUACUCUUUGAAGGAGUUUCUUCACUGGUGGAAAAUGAUGUAAUUUAUGCUUGCUGGAAGAAGGAGAUGCAUGUUUUUGCCACCUUUGCUCAGGCUGUGCACGUUGUAUUGCUGAAGAGGUACUUGCCAAAUUGCAGAGACACACGGUUUAAAGGCAAGUAUUAUAUCUUCCAGCACCACGAAGGCGAAUCUCCCUCCAGAGGUGCUUUGAUUCCUGAAACUCUUGCUACAAAGCCAUCUAAGCAAGAGAGCGUUUUCCAGCCUGGAUGGACAGACCACCUUGGAGGCUCUGCAACCUUGAUGCCGAUGGGAAAUCCAGUUGAGCUCGUCCCAUACCAAGGUGCAACGACACAGUUCCUGGGUAUGCCAGCUACCUGUGUGCAGGGCUCUGAGCCGCAGACAGGGCCAAGGCUCUGCCAGGAAGAGGAAGGCACAGCUGGGGAUGCCCAGUGGCUGAGCCACACCACCAGUGGAGAUAUUACUCCAGGUUUGGGUAAUACACAUGGAUUUUCAAGCAUGCUUUUGGAAACACCUUUGUUCGGAGCCUUGCAGGUAAUGGAGCAUUCAUUGCAGCCCACAGGCAUGAGCUGGGAGAGCAGACAGUCUGUACUACACCCCACCCUGAGGCUGGAAGAUCUGGGAGACCUCCAGUUUACCAUUAAACCAACACGCAUGAGUCACAUGGACUCGGCUGCUGAUUCACAGACUUCCUCUCCUGGCAGAAGAGGAAGCCAAGAGAGCAUCAGUACCACCAAGUCCCAGGGGCUGGAUGCAAGGAAGGACAGAAGCCAUGCACAGCUGAGCGUCCCAGCUGAUGGAGCAGCAAGCAGUGAUGCUGUUGGCCUUGCAAGGGGCCUGAUGCCCAGCCUGAGCAGCCCAUAUGAUGUGGUGAAUGGGGACCGCUCACAGCUGCUGCCAGAGAGAGAUCAAAGCAGUUUUGGGGCUUUGCCUGUGACUCAACCCAGCCUGGGAACAACCAACCUCCAGCAUAUGGAGCUCAUGGGUAUUUUCCCCCUGGAAAGUUCCAGGGGUGUUGUUGAGGAGAAAGCAGUGCCACGUCCCACACCACCAUGGGACAUCCUCCAGGAGCAUCCUCACUCAUAUGACCAGAGCCAUCCUGUCCUGCAGGCAGUCCCUGUGCACCCUGGGAGCCUCCCCACAAGCACCCAAGCAUGCAGCUGUCCAGUUGCUGAGAAAACUUCCGCAUUCUCAUGGGACAUAAAAAGCUGCUGCCACCAGGGUUACACCGCCACACAGACGUGGCUGGUAGUGUCCCCUGGGCGAACAGGUCUAGAGCUUUCUUCCAUGAGCAGGAUGGAAACAACCCCUGCACCAGUGCUCUCUCACUCUGACCUCAUUCCUGUGGGCUCUGCCAACACUUCCUCUGAAGAACUUCUUCCCUCAGGAGAACAGUCCACAUCCAGGGCAGUCCCCUCCUCACUGGCAGCUUUGGGUUUGGAUCCUGUCAGCCUCAGGAGAUGGGCAGGCAUCUCAUCAGGAGGACAUGAGGUGGCCUCAUCAUUGCCUCCUCUCUAUCUAUCAGCAGCCCCUGAACUGGGUGCAGCUGUGUCCCCUGGCCACCUUGGCCACUGGAUGAGGGAGAAAGUGCUGGAAGAGGAUGGCCACCAACAAGAAACCCCAGCUCCUGUGCAUGUGCUGGCUGCAGGUCCCUCUCCAGCCUCCAUCCCGAGGCCCUUUGUGGGACCUCCUCGGGCCAAGGACCCCCUGAGUCAUGGCUCUAGGGUGACACCAGCUCUGCUGCAACCAGGCAUGGCCACUAGUGGCAAAGCAGCUUCUGCCUUGCACCUUGGGGGACUUAAAAUGCAGAAGACCAUGGAAAGUCUCCAGGUGGGUGUUGGAGAGCAGAGAAAUUCCUCCUCGCAUGUUGCCCGCUCCGAUCCUCCAGCAGUGCAGUGGGGGCAAACAGUGCUGAGAGGCCAAGAACUCCGGGAGCCCACGAGUGGUCCAGUAUCCAGGCACACGGGGAUGCCGGGAGGACAGCCACAGAAGCACUCUGAGCUGGGACUGCCCUGGGUGAUGGAGUACUUCCCUGUCAGGAGCUGCCAUGUCACCUUUCAGAAUGAGUUUGGGGUGUUCUACCUCCCACUGCAUGGUGACAUCCAAGCCAACAUCUGGUGCAACUGGACCAUCUGGGCAGGCCCCCAGAAACACAUUGUCAUCUACAUUCAGGGGUUCCAGGACAGUGAAGGCUGCGGUAAGAACCACGACAAGAUCAUUUUCCAAGGGGUCCUCUCACGUGUGGAAACAAAGGUCAUGUAUGCCUGUCACAGCCAAGGUACUCUGAUCUUUGCUGCACAAGCCACAGCAGUCCAUGUGUUAUUGUUGUCAAGAAGUGGCCCCCUAAGCAGCAAAUACAAACAUUUUGAAGGACAGUAUUAUGUAUUUGGAGACUAUGAAGCUGUGGGUUCUUCAGAUGGUGCUGGAGCUCCCCGAGAGCCCAUCCGGGAAACCCCUAAAGGAGAGAGCUGGAGGAUAGGGACAACACAAGGUUUGCUGCCCAUGCUGAGAGCCUCUCCAAGUCCAUCCACUCCACCUACUGCAGGCAAGAUCCAGGCCGAGAUGGCAAGCACAGAGGACAAGGGCCAACACCUCCCUGAUCUUGUGGAAGAUACUUGGCUUGGUGCUGACCUGAGCGAGCAUAGUGAGGUGCAAGAUGAAACAGAGAUGGAAAGAAGCCUUACAUAUGGUGGCACAGAGGGGAGGGAACCCAAUGAGGAUGUGUUGGAGUACCCAUCAGUAGGAGGUGCUGGGCCUGAAGCUGAGCUGCCUGCCUUGGAGGUUGCAAAGGGGGAUGUAGAGCUGGUGCCUGUUCUGGUCACCACAGCCUCACACUACUCAGCUGAUGUCCCUGCCUCAGAGGCAAUGCCCCAGGGUGACAAAGGCGUGCCUGCUGGAGAUGUGCAGUCACCGGGAGAAGGGCAUGAAGAUCCCUUUGAUCUGGCUUCUGUUCUGGCAUCUCUGGAGAAUGGUACGGCACUGCAAUCCCUGCACCACCCUGGAGGUAAGUGA
rnacentral:lncRNA from 1 species